rnacentral:misc_RNA from 1 species
GGUAAGUAAAUCAACUGGAUUUCUAUAUGCUAUCAUUUAUCAUUUACUGUGGGCAUGCAUCGUGAAAUUCAACAUUUGAUGCAAUAGACUUCGGUUUUAGCUUUAGGUUCCAGUUCUUGUGGGAUCAGAACUGAAGUUUAUGGUUCCUCUGUUAGGUCAUACUUAUUAAUCAAGUUUAGUUUAGUUUUAUUUAUUUAUUUUUUAU